rnacentral:rRNA from 1 species
UACGAAGGGUGCAAGCGUUACUCGGAAUUACUGGGCGUAAAGGGUGCGUAGGUGGUUUUUAAGUCCGUUGUGAAAUCCCUGGGCUCAACCUGGGAAUGGCAGUGGAUACUGGAAAGCUAGAGUGCGGUAGAGGGUAGUGGAAUUCCCGGUGUAGCAGUGAAAUGCGUAGAGAAUCGGGAGGAACACCAGUGGCGAAGGCGGCUACCUGGACCAGCACUGACACUGAGGCACGAAAGCGUGGGGAGCAAACAGG